GAGGGUAUAGCUCAGUAGUAGAGUGCAUGCUUAGCAUGCACGAGGUCCUGGGUUCAAUCCCCAGUACCACCA
rnacentral:tRNA from 1 species